UGAUCCUGGCUCAGAUUGAACGCUGGCGGUAGGCUAACACAUGCAAGUCGUGCGAGAAAGUAUCUUCGGAUAUGAGUAGAGCGGCGGACGGGUGAGUAACGCGUAGGAAUCUACCUAGUAGAAGGGGAUAGCCCGAGGAAACUCGGAUUAAUACCGUAUACCUCCUUCGGGAGAAAGAAGGCCUCUCAUUGAAGCUUUCGCUACUAGAUGAGCCUGCGUAAGAUUAGCUUGUUGGUGAGGUAAAGGCUCACCAAGGCAACGAUCUUUAGCGGGUCUGAGAGGACGAUCCGCCACAUUGGGACUGAGACACGGCCCAGACUCCUACGGGAGGCAGCAGUGGGGAAUAUUGGACAAUGGGCGCAAGCCUGAUCCAGCCAUACCGCGUGUGUGAAGAAGGCCCUAGGGUUGUAAAGCACUUUAAGUUGGGAAGAAAAGUUAUUGGCUAAUACCCAAUGACCGUGACAUUACCUUCAGAAUAAGGACCGGCUAAUUCCGUGCCAGCAGCCGCGGUAAUACGGAAGGUCCAAGCGUUAAUCGGAAUUACUGGGCGUAAAGCGCGCGUAGGUGGUUUAUUAAGUUGGAUGUGAAAUCCCCGGGCUCAACCUGGGAACUGCAUCCAAAACUGAUUCACUAGAGUACGAUAGAGGGAGGUAGAAUUCACAGUGUAGCGGUGGAAUGCGUAGAUAUUGUGAAGAAUACCAAUGGCGAAGGCAGCCUCCUGGAUCUGUACUGACACUGAGGUGCGAAAGCGUGGGUAGCGAACAGGAUUAGAUACCCUGGUAGU
rnacentral:rRNA from 1 species